rnacentral:lncRNA from 1 species
UGAAAGCGUAAAUUUCUGUGUAUUUGACUUCAUUUCCUGUAAUAUACCGUCUCCCUGGUCCGCUAUCUAGGCAGUGCAUUACGGUAUACAUGUAGCUCUAGGAACACUAACACUCGUUGUUUAACUAUUUCUAUGAAUGUGUAAGAAAUAUAUAAUAUUAAGAACACUGUGUCAGUGUGGAGUGAACGUUUUUGAUAAUAUAGUCGGAUAAUAUAUUCGUGAUACUCUUUAUUUUGUUGAGAAUUUACUAAACAAUGAUGUUGUGAUCGACGGGAAAACAAUUAUAUGCGAUGUCUAAACUUGAAUGGGAUUGAUUAAAAGAUCAAAAGACCAAUACUGGAAAAGCUGAUGACUGUGACAAAAGGCGCUAAUCGAAGAAAACAAAAAUCAGAGACGAACAAUUACAUAUGCAUAAGAUAUACAUGACCAAGAGAAGAACGAAUGGACAUGCAUAACAUCCCAGGUCAAAUAUUGAACAAGGAUCAGAAGAAAGAAUAGAUUUAGACAUUUGUGAAAGGAACGAUGGAAACUUUGGAAGUGUACUCUUUCUGAAACGUAUAACUACAACAAAGAUGUGAUCAUUGUAUUAGAAACUGAAUUUUCCAGUCUUCUAGUGGUUUAAUUAGCAUACAAUGAUAUUUACCUUCAUGUUUUUAUACACUUAUCUUUUUUAUAUUUUUUAAUCUUUAUAUUAUAUUUGAUCGAAGUAGCAAUGAAAAAAACGGGAAUAUAUAAAUAUAUAAGAGAAAAUUAUUGCAUUUUAUACUUGGAAUAACUUAAAGCGGAGAUAUGACGUUUCAUUGAGCCUUGAUAUCAGCACAAUUGUACGUGAUAUUAGUAACUCAUUUUAAUGGAAUAUAGCGGAAUUCAGAUACAUCUGUUCGGAAAGCGAUGCGACCCUGACUCAGCCCAUAUGUUUACUCGUAUAGAAUACCUUUUUGAUCUUAUUUGAAAUUUCCUUUUUAAAUCAAAAACUAUUUAUUUGUAUGAAUGGGAUCGUUCGACAAAGAUUAAAGAUAUCAGGAAAUUAUUGUUAUAUUUCUUACGAAGCUUUUAAACUUAAGUACUGACAGAUUAUAUGUUAUGGAAACACUUCAGAAUUAGUAACUUUAACUAUUUUUCCAUUUUAAAAUUGAAAAGCAUUUGUAACGGGUAUCAAAUGUAAAUUGUCUCAAUUACAAAGCUUUGUAUAAGCGGCUGUUACAUACGACUGUAUAUUAGUCAAAAUAGUAGGAAAGAAUUUACUGGCGAGGCAACCCAGUUUCAGUUUCUCAGUCGGACAUAUUUUUUGUUGAUUAAGCAUUUUUAAAAUAGUUUAGAAACAAAAGAUCAUGUUCUAAUACUCAUUAUAUUACAAACUUUCCAGAAGGAUCAUUCUUAGCCUAAAUCUGGAGUCCAGGUGUAUUUUGUUUUUAAUAUACAUUUCUCUGUAAAGCUAUUGUAUUUCUUUUAAAUUGCAUACUUUUACUCUUUGUAUUCUAAGAUACGUUAUUAUUAUUUUGAGUAAGCAUACAGCUGAAGCAUCUUUAGUUCAGCUGCUUUGUCUGUGUGGAUAACAUCAAAGCGUAUUUAUCAAAAACACUAAAAAUAACAGAUAAAAGUGAAAAAUGUAAAUUGAAACAUUCGCAAUAUCUAAUUUUAAUAGAUGAUGUUUUAAAGGAGAUUCAGACCAGGAACUAAAGAACUAGGAAAUUCUACACGGUCGGGUAUGCGUAACACUAUACCACACGGCCGAUCAGUCGAUAAAAAGUAUGUAGAUAUAUUUCUCUAAUUAUGUGGUUGACCUUGCUCAAAUGACAGGUCAUCCCUAUUAAAAUUGCUAGUUUUAUGCAUGUGCAGGCUUUUCAUUUACUUUGCAAAUAAGUUAUAUAUGCAACGAUAAAGAUGUUUACUAAGAUUAACAUAUACAUACACGAGAUACUGGAAAAAAUUAUUAGCCACGGAUAGGGUAGUUUUGAUACAAGAACACCUUUAUAUUUUACUCUGCGGGUCUUAGUCGUGUAACGUAUUGUUGAAAUUACUGUUGUUAUAAUGAUAUCUUAAAUAAUCUGCGUCAUUUCAAGUCUAUGAUUCACAGGUUUUGAUUUAUUCAUGCUAAUGUUAAAGAUCUAGUAAGUAAAGUAUAUUAGCAUAGGCAUUAUUGCUAUACCCUGUAACACCUUUAUACGUCUUUUCACAACAUACAUGUUCAUAUUUGUUAAAGGGAGCAAACUCAAAUGAAAGUGAUCAAUUUUAAAAUCGUUUUUAUAAUUUUGAGUUACGAAGAAACCAAUUAAAGGGAGCAAACUCUAUGAAAGAUAAACGUUUUAUUCUGUAUUUAUUUUGUGCUGUAAUGCAAAUUAUGUGGUUGCAGACUUACAAUGUGUUUCCUAGUGAGUACGUAUUUUAAUAAGAAAUAAUGUAAGACUAUAUAAGCACACAUAUUGUCAACAUAUUAGUUACAUUUUAUUAGGGAAAACAUUGUUUAUAUUAUUAACCUGCAAAAAUUAAAUUAAAAUCUGUAAAAUGAUCGUGAAUUUUUCGUCUAACGACUUCCCUGUCAAAAAGUAAAUCAAGAUCAUGUGGAAAUGUUAUUGGUGUAAUAGCUUAAACUAACAUCGCAUUCGUUUCUGCAGUCGAUAUGUGUGCUUGUUUUAGUAGAAUUAUUGCUAUUUUGGAGAGAUUUGGAUUUUUUCAAAUCGUCUUUAAUACACAUUUUGCAUGAGUUAAAAUUUAUUUUUUCUCUCCAGUUAAGUAGAUGUCAUUUUGAUUAGUAAUCAUUGUCACUAUGUGGUAUCAUGGGAGAAAAGACUCAGAGCAAAGGGAAAAUGUUAUAAUAAUUAAACUAAUUUUUAACUUCAUUUUAAAGAAAAUAUAAAAUUUGGUGUUAAUUUGCAACCUUUUAACUUUAAAUCCUGUACAAAGACAUUUAUUUCUCUAUAUAAUAGCUGAUUUCACCAGAUUUUUGUUGCGUUAUUUUUGUUUGGAUCCCGCUAUAAUUCAGCGGGAUUACAACCAAAAACGCUCUAUGAUCCCGGUUAUUCCCACAGUCUAUAUAUACCUGGAUCCCACUGAAAUCAGUUGGGAUCCCAGCGGGAUUUCGGUGGAAUAUUACCGGGAUCUCAGUGGGAAAAAUUUUCGGAAUCCCGGUAUAUCCCACCGGAAUUCCCAUAUGAAUUCCCGGUGGAAAUCCCACUUGAAAUCCGGGAUUCCCGAUGAGAAAUCAAGUGGGAUCCCACUGGGAAAACCAAUAUUUCCCAUUGAGAAUCCCACCGGAAGGCACUGGGAAUCCCGAAAAUUUUUCCCGCUGAAAUUCCCACUGGAAUCCUACCGGAAUCCCGUCGGGAUUUCCACUUAAAUUUUCU